rnacentral:rRNA from 1 species
AACGUAGGAGACAAACGUUAUCCGGAAUUACUGGGCGUAAAGCGCGCGUAGGUGGUUUGUUAAGUUGGAUGUGAAAUCCCCGGACUCAACCUGGGAACUGCAUUUAAAACUGACUGACUAGAGUAUGGUAGAGGGUGGUGGAAUUUCCUGUGUAGCGGUGAAAUGCGUAGAUAUAGGAAGGAACACCAGUGGCGAAGGCGACCACCUGGACUGAUACUGACACUGAGGUGCGAAAGCGUGGGGAGCAAACAGG